AUUGAACGCUGGCGGCAGGCUUAACACAUGCAAGUCGAGCGGGGAAGGUUGCUUCGGUAACUGACCUAGCGGCGGACGGGUGAGUAAUGCUUAGGAAUCUGCCUAUUAGUGGGGGACAACAUUCCGAAAGGAAUGCUAAUACCGCAUACGCCCUACGGGGGAAAGCAGGGGAUCUUCGGACCUUGCGCUAAUAGAUGAGCCUAAGUCGGAUUAGCUAGUUGGUGGGGUAAAGGCCUACCAAGGCGACGAUCUGUAGCGGGUCUGAGAGGAUGAUCCGCCACACUGGGACUGAGACACGGCCCAGACUCCUACGGGAGGCAGCAGUGGGGAAUAUUGGACAAUGGGCGCAAGCCUGAUCCAGCCAUGCCGCGUGUGUGAAGAAGGCCUUUUGGUUGUAAAGCACUUUAAGCGAGGAGGAGGCUCCUUUAGUUAAUACCUAAAGAGAGUGGACGUUACUCGCAGAAUAAGCACCGGCUAACUCUGUGCCAGCCGCCGCAGUAAUAC
rnacentral:rRNA from 1 species